rnacentral:tRNA from 1 species
AUUCUAGUAGUUUAAAAAAUAACUUUUCAUCUUCAAUGAAAAAAUGAAUUAUAUUCCUAGAAUG